rnacentral:rRNA from 1 species
UACGUAGGGUGCAAGCGUUGUCCGGAAUUAUUGGGCGUAAAGAGCUCGUAGGCGGUUCGUCGCGUCGGCUGUGAAAACCCGGAGCUCAACUCCGGGCCUGCAGUCGAUACGGGCGGACUUGAGUGUUGCAGGGGAGACUGGAAUUCCUGGUGUAGCGGUGAAAUGCGCAGAUAUCAGGAGGAACACCGAUGGCGAAGGCAGGUCUC